UCCAAGAGAAGCAUUUGCACAGGCACAGGGAAUUGGACUCAAACUGAUCUAACAAUUUUUUUCUUUCCUUUCAGCUGGAUCAGUUAAGAAAAAGUCAGUGGUGGUGCAGAUGGUGAUGACAGCUCAUACAGAAAUGCUGCUAGAUUUCUAGCCAUUGCCUCGAAAUACUGAUUUCAAACUACAGUGCUAUAAUGACAGCCUAAAUGAAGUGGCAUCAAGAGUUUCCUCAAAUUUUUCCUGUGCUUGGAAAUCUUUGGGGUUUGUGUGCGAGUCUCCGAUGCUGUUAACAAUUUCAAUCUGCACCAUUAAAGCUGCAUUUUCUAACCGUCCCCUGGUAAUUGUUGCAAGGACUUAGACAGAAAAAGACCCAAACUUGUACCAAAUACCAGACUCAUUAGAACACCAAAGACUGGAACUUCAAUAAGGAGAAUUUACACUUGUUUAGAAGUCAUACAAAAAGUGGAAUUAAUUCAGUUCUUCACUUCCCCAAGUUUUGUUGGCUUCAAGGGGCUGUUCCCAAAUUACAUUGGUGUCACACUGGAAUGAGAUCAUCUCAGUUCAACCACCACUCAAAACAUCACUCUUACCCAUAAAACAUCACUGGCUUCCAACACUCUCAAAAGUACAAAAGGUUCCUUCAGCCAUGCUUCUUUUCCAAGUGGAAGACGAAAGAAAGGUACAGACAGAGAAUCCAGCACCUAAGCAUCAUAAGGCUAAAUAUUUGUUCACUUGCUUAACAUGCAGUAAGUCCUGGAGUGCUCUCUGUUUACCCAAGAGGAUUUCAGCAUAGAGGCUUGCUCCAGAAAGGUAUUUGUUUAGAAAAGAGAAAAAUCCUGCAGAUCAGUGUAAUCUCUGUUACUCUAGGAAUUAGUGA
rnacentral:lncRNA from 1 species